UUCGCUGUUGUCCAAAACUAAAACCAUUUUGUUGUUUUCUGCAGACUUUUUGGUAUUCAACUGGACUAUAAUAAAUUUCAUGGUUGACUAUUCCUCUUAAGGAUAUCGUCUCAAAGAUAUAAACCUUAAUAAAGUGAAAACCAACAUUUUUGACGA
rnacentral:snoRNA from 1 species